CCUACGGGAGGCAGCAGUGGGGAAUAUUGGACAAUGGGGGGAACCCUGAUCCAGCGACGCCGCGUGAGUGAAGAAGUAUUUCGGUAUGUAAAGCUCUAUCAGCAGGGAAGAAAAUGACGGUACCUGACUAAGAAGCCCCGGCUAACUACGUGCCAGCAGCCGCGGUAAUACGUAGGGGGCAAGCGUUAUCCGGAUUUACUGGGUGUAACGGGAGCGUAGACGGUGCAGCAAGUCUGAUGUGAAAGGUCGGGGCUCAACCGCGGGACUGCAUUGGAAACUGGUGAACUGGAGUACAGGAGAGGAGAGUGGAAUUCCAGGUGUAGCGGUGAAAUGCGUAGAUAUUAGGAGGAACACCAGGGGCGAAGGCGGCUUACUGGACUGUAACUGACGUUGAGGCUCGAAAGCGUGGGGAGCAAACAGGAUUAGAUACCCCUGUAGUC
rnacentral:rRNA from 1 species